rnacentral:rRNA from 1 species
UACGGAGGGUGCAAGCGUUGCUCGGAAUCACUGGGCGUAAAGGGUGCGUAGGCGGGUCUUUAAGUCAGGGGUGAAAUCCUGGAGCUCAACUCCAGAACUGCCUUUGAUACUGAAGAUCUUGAGUUCGGGAGAGGUGAGUGGAACUGCGAGUGUAGAGGUGAAAUUCGUAGAUAUUCGCAAGAACACCAGUGGCGAAGGCGGCUCACUGGCCCGAUACUGACGCUGAUGCACGAAAGCGUGGGGAGCAAACAGG